rnacentral:rRNA from 1 species
UACGUAGGGUGCAAGCGUUGUCCGGAAUUAUUGGGCGUAAAGAGCUCGUAGGCGGUUUGUCGCGUCUGCUGUGAAAACCCGAGGCUCAACCUCGGGCCUGCAGUGGGUACGGGCAGACUAGAGUGCGGUAGGGGGAGAUUGGAAUUCCUGGUGUAGCGGUGGAAUGCGUAGAGAUCCGGAAGAACACCGGUGGCGAAGGCGGCCUGCUGGGCCGGAGGUGUAGCGAUACACCGUUAGCUGACGCUGAGGCGCGACAGCGUGGGGGAGCAAACAGG